AUGAACGCUGGCGGCGUGCCUAAUGCAUGCAAGUCGAGCGAACGGACGAGAAGCUUGCUUUUCUGAUGUUAGCGGCGGACGGGUGAGUAACACGUGGAUAACCUACCUAUAAGACUGGGAUAACUUCGGGAAACCGGAGCUAAUACCGGAUAAUAUUUUGAACCGCAUGGUUCAAAAGUGAAAGACGGUCUUGCUGUCACUUAUAGAUGGAUCCGCGCUGCAUUAGCUAGUUGGUAAGGUAACGGCUUACCAAGGCAACGAUGCAUAGCCGACCUGAGAGGGUGAUCGGCCACACUGGAACUGAGACACGGUCCAGACUCCUACGGGAGGCAGCAGUAGGGAAUCUUCCGCAAUGGGCGAAAGCCUGACGGAGCAACGCCGCGUGAGUGAUGAAGGUCUUCGGAUCGUAAAACUCUGUUAUUAGGGAAGAACAUAUGUGUAAGUAACUGUGCACAUCUUGACGGUACCUAAUCAGAAAGCCACGGCUAACUACGUG
rnacentral:rRNA from 1 species